rnacentral:rRNA from 1 species
CGGGGGGAGCAAGCGUUGUUCGGAUUUACUGGGCGUAAAGGGCGCGUAGGCGGCCACCGCAAGUCGACUGUGAAAUCUCCGGGCUUAACCCGGAAAGGUCAGCCGAUACUGCGGGGCUAGAGUGCAGAAGGGGCAACUGGAAUUCUCGGUGUAGCGGUGAAAAGCGUAGAUAUCGAGAGGAACACCUGCGGCGAAGGCGGGUUGCUGGGCUGACACUGACGCUGAGGCGCGAAAGCUAGGGGAGCGAACGGGAUUAGAUACCCCGGUAGUCCUAGCCUUAAACGAUGAAUGCUUGGUGUCUGGGGUUUUAUAGUCCCCGGGUGCCGUCGCUAACGCUUUAAGCAUUCCGCCUGGGGAGUACGGUCGCAAGACUG